GACGAACGCUGGCGGCGUGCUUAACACAUGCAAGUCGAACGGAAAGGCCCUGCUUUUGUGGGGUGCUCGAGUGGCGAACGGGUGAGUAACACGUGAGUAACCUGUCCUUGACUUUGGGAUAACUUCUGGAAACUGGGGUUAAUACCGGAUAGGAGCUCCUGCUUCAUGGUGGGGGUUGGAAAGUUUCGGCGGUUGGGGAUGGACUCGCGGCUUAUCAGCUUGUUGGGGGGGUAGUGGCUUACCAAGGCUUUGACGGGUAGCCGGCAUGAGAGGGUGACCGGCCACAUUGGGACUGAGAUACGGCCCAGACUCCAACGCGAGGCAGCAGUGGGGAAUAUUGCACAAUGGGCGGAAGCCUGAUGCAGCAACGCCGCGUGCGGGAUGACGGCCUUCGGGUUGUAAACCGCUUUCGCCUGUAACGAAGCGUGAGUGACGGUAAUGGGUAAAGAAGCACCGGCUAACUACGUG
rnacentral:rRNA from 1 species